rnacentral:rRNA from 1 species
AUAUUGGACAAUGGGGGCAACCCUGAUCCAGCCAUGCCGCGUGUGUGAAGAAGGUCUUCGGAUUGUAAAGCACUUUAAGUUGGGAGGAAGGGCUUUAGGUUAAUACCCUGAAGUUUUGACGUUACCAACAGAAUAAGCACCGGCUAACUCUGUCCCAGCAGCCGCGGUAAUACAGAGGGUGCAAGCGUUAAUAGGAAUUACUGGGCGUAAAGCGCGGGUAGGUGGGUCAGGAAAGUGGGUAUGGAAACCGCGGGAUUAACCGGGGAACUGGUAUAAUAACUAGGGAGGUGGAGUACGGUAGAGGGUAGUGGAAAUUCGGGUGUAGCGGUGAAAUGCGUAGAUAUAGGAAAGAAAACCAGUGGCGAAGGCAACUACCUGGACUGAUAAUGACACUGAGGUGCGAAAGCGUGGGGAGCAAAC